CGCUGUCUGCCUGUUUUGACUACAGAGGAAAGGAGUUCCCUAAAGUUUAGAGGGGCUUGUUUGGAGUCUGAUGUUCUUAGUUUUGUUUGAAGGAGAACUUGAGUCACACCGAUCACUGAGUAGCCAGGCAGGCUGGUCCACAGAGGAGCAGACACUGACCACCUUGCUGGGGUUUCCAGCUGCACCAGGGCUCACAGCCGGCUCCUCCAGGGUGUUUCAGGAACAGAAACUGGAGGACGUGGCUCUCCUGGCGGGGAGCUGUGCUCAAGUAUUCUGGAGCUGCCAGCCCCGUUGGGAGGAAGCCUAGAUCAGUGUCUGCUCCCUCCUAAGUGCUGAAUAAUACAGCUCUUGAGCAAAAUCAGCAGUGGCAGGGGAGAGAGAGAGCAGGAGGGCUUCCCCGCAGACAUCCAAGCUGCUGAGGUGGUGGAGUGGAGGGGGGUGCACCCAGACUGGUAGGAGGCUCUAGAACAUUUUGCAAGCAAAGUCAGCUGACU
rnacentral:lncRNA from 1 species